UACGGAAGGCAGCAGUGGGGAAUAUUGCACAAUGGGCGAAAGCCUGAUGCAGCUAUGCCGCGUGUAUGAAGAAGGCCUUAGGGUUGUAAAGUACUUUCAUCGGGGAGGAAAAAACAAAACUAAUAAUUUUAUUUCUUGACGUUACCCGAAAAAGAAGCACCGGCUAACUCCGUGCCAGCAGCCGCGGUAAUACGGAGGGUGCUAGCGUUAAUCAGAAUUACUGGGCGUAAAGAGCACGUAGGUGGUUUUUUUAAGUCAGAUGUGAAAUCCCUGGGCUUAACCUAGGAACUGCAUUUUGAAACUGAAAUACUAGAGUAUCGUAGAGGGGAGGGUAGAAUUCUAGGUGUAGCGGUGGAAAUGCGUAGAGAUGUGGAGGAAUACCGGUGGCGAAGGCGGCCCCCGUGGACAAAGACUGACGCUCAUGUGCGAAAGCGUGGGGAGCAAAACAGGGAUUAGAUACC
rnacentral:rRNA from 1 species